rfam:Schistosoma mansoni strain Puerto Rico chromosome 2, complete genome
AUCCAUCUGACGAGUCCCAAAUAGGACGAAACGCGCGUCGUGGAU